GUCACAUUGUAGAUGAGCAAGGUAUUAGACCAGACAGCAAGAAAAUAGAUGCCAUACUAACCAUCAAGCCACCGCAAAACACCACGGAGCUCAAACAUGUGCUAGGUAUGGCGCAUACCUAGCACAUGGACGUUACUUACCUAACUUAGCAGAUGUAACUUGUCAUGAUCUGUGUUUUUGUUUCUAGUUGUAUCAUGUUUCACGCCAUGUCCUGUGUAACACUACUUCCUGUUUUAUUUUGGUAGUCUCCUGGUUUCUGUUCCUGCUUUAGCUUUACUUCCGGUUUUUGUCUUGUCACAGCUGUCCCUGCUCCACCUGAUCGUUAUCCUCACCUGCACUGUAUCAGUUAAUUACUCAUCUGUGUAUUUAGUCACCUCCUGUUCCCGUAGUCACUUGCCAGAUUGUUGAGUUGAGAAUGUGUUGAGCGUCCCUAGUUUCCUGAGUUCCCUGAGUGUUCGUGUUCUCGUGUCUUAUUCCUGUUCGCACCGUGUAUCCUGCCCGACACUGGAUUAUCUACUGACCGUGAGUUUUUGCCUGUUCCCUGCCUGUACUUUUGCCGAGCCUUUUUGUGUUUGACCUGGACCGUAUGACCCUGCCUUGAGCAAUAAACCUUUUGUUGAUUAUAACCUUCGCCUCCGUGCUGUGCAUGUGGGUCCGCCGCCAGCCCGAGUCCCUGACAGAACAAUCUGGCCAAACUUGGACCCAGCCAGCACUUAGCCUCCGGUCAGGUCAGUGACUGUUUUUUUCCUUGUUUUUACGGCGAAUAUACUCUCCCGCGGAAGUAUGAAGUUUGACGAAUUAAGCGACGCGCGCUGCACCACGCCGGCGCCGGUCGCACCGCCGAUGGUUUCGGUUUCCUCCUCUCCGCCUCGUCGGAUCGUCGUGCCUGCACCAACCUGCCCAGCUCCAUGGUUGUUCCCCUGGGAGGAUUUCCUGCUCUCACGCGGUCCUCAGUCUCCAGUCCAACCGCGCGCUGCUCAGUCUCCAGUUCAGCCGCGCGCUGCUCAGUCUCCAGUUCAGCCGCGCGCUGCUCAGUCUCCAGGUCAGCCGCGCGCUGCUCAGUCUCCAGGUCAGCCGCGCGCUGCUCAGCCUCCAGUUCAGCCGCGCGCUGCUCAGUCUCCAGUUCAGCCGCGCGUUGCCCAGACCCCAGUUCAGUCGUGUUUUCCCCAGUCUCCAGCCCAAGCUCCAGACGCCGCGGUCCCGUUUCACCAUGCGGGUCCCGGUACAGAGGUCCGGUCCACACCGCGCCCAGCGCCUCAAACGACGGACAGUCGCAGCUGCUCCGGACGGCGACGGCGGCGGCGCGGUUCCAGGAUUCCGGGUCCCGCGGUCUCGGUCAUGGGGACCGAGCCGUCUCCUUCUCCGACAGAGGAGCCCCUUGAUUCUCUGACUGACUGUGUCCCUCUGAUAUCAGGCAUCCCAGACAGCGUCGCCCGACGGGUCCACCUCCUCUGCUCUCCUCCAGUUGCGUUUCUCUUCGCCCACCUCAUGAACACCGCCGAUUCGGCAGCAGACCAGGGCGCGAGAGAACAACUGUUCACGGAAGCAGCCGCUCUCGUCCUGAGGGAGCCUGUCCUGCGUGAGGCCCUGCAACUCCCGGGCCUGCAGCCAGCGGCCGCUUCAUGUCCCACCUCUCAGUCAGUUCAGCCUCGCCAUGCUCAUGCCCUGGUGCAGCCCUGUCGCCUCCAGGUCCCAGCCCAGUCGAACCUAGUCCAGACCCCAGAUCAGCCGUGUGUUGCCCAGACCCCAGAUCAGCCGUGUGUCGCCCAGACCCCAGAUCAGCCGUGUGUCGCCCAGACCCCAGAUCAGCCGUGUGUCGCCCAGACCCCAGAUCAGUCGUGUGUCGCCCAGACCCCAGAUCAGUCGUGUGUCGCCCAGACCCCAGAUCAGUCCUGUGUUGCCCAGACCCCAGAUCAGUCGUGUGUUGCCCAGACCCCAGUUCAGUCGUGUGUUGCCCAGACCCCAGUUCCGUCCUUGUCCCCGUCAGAGGGCACCGUCCGUCUGACGGCUGUUAGCCCCACCCAAUCAGGCCCGACGUCUCCCCCGUCGAGCUCGGCAGCUGUAAGCUGUCAUGCCAGCUCCGGAGGGGACGCCGUUCCAGUCCCUGUCGGCCAUGUUGCGGCCGUUCCAGUCCCGGUCGGCCAUGUUGCGGCCGUUCCAGUUCCUGUCGGCCAUGUUGAGGUCGUUCCAGUUCUUGUCGGCCAUGUUGAGGUCGUUCCAGUUCCUGUCGGCCAUGUUGAGGUCGUUCCAGUUCCUGUCGGCCAUGUUGAGGUCGUUCCAGUUCCUGUCGGCCAUGUUGAGGUCGUUCCAGUUCCUGUCGGCCAUGUUGAGGUCGUUCCAGUUCCUGUCGGCCAUGUUGAGGUCGUUCCAGUUCCUGUUCCUGUCGGCCAUGUUGAGGUCAUUCCAGUUCCUGUCCCUGUCGACCAAAUUGAGGUCGUUCCAGUUCCUGUCCCUGUCGACCAAGUUAAGGUCGUUCCAGUUCCUGUCCCUGUCGGCCAAGUUGAGGUCGUUCCCGUUCCUGUCCCUGUCGGCCCAGUUGAGGUCGUUCCAGUUCCUGUCCCUGUCGGCCAAGUUGAGGGCGUUCCCGUCGGCCAAGUUGAGGGCGUUCCCGUAGGCCAAGUUGAGGGCGUUCCCGUAGGCCAAGUUGAGGGCGUUCCCGUAGGCCAAGUUGAGGGCGUUCCCGUAGGCCAAGUUGAGGGCGUUCCCGUAGGCCAAGUAGAGGUCACCCCUGUCUCUGAUCCCGUUCCCGUCGGCCCUGUAGCGGUCGUUCCAGUCCCCGUUCCUGUCGGCCCUGUAGCGGUCGUUCCAGCCCCCGUUCCUGUCGGCCCUGUAGCGGUCGUUCCAGCCCCCGUUCCUGUCGGCCCUGUAGCGGUCGUUCCAGCCCCCGUUCCUGUCGGCCCUGUAGCGGUCGUUCCAGCCCCCGUUCCUGUCGGCCCUGUAGCGGUCGUUCCAGUCCCCGUUCCUGUCGGCCCUGUAGCGGUCGUUCCAGUCCCCGUCAUCCUUGGAGCCGCAGCUCCUGCGCACCUCCAGGAGGAGGUCGCGCCAGCCGCAGUUCCUGCGCACCUCCAGGAGGAGGUCGCGCCAGCCGCAGCAGUUCCUGCGCACCUCCAGGAGGAGGUCGCGCCAGCCGCAGCAGUUCCUGCGCACCUCCAGGAGGAGGUCGCGCCAGCCGCAGUUCCUGCGCACCUCCAGGAGGAGGUCGCGCCAGCCGCAGUUCCUGCGCACCUCCAGGAGGAGGUCGCGCCAGCCGCAGUUCCUGCGCACCUCCAGGAGGAGGCCGCGCCAGUUGCAGUUCCUGCGCACCUCCA
ensembl:lncRNA